UUCCUACGGGGCGCAGCAGUGAGGAAUAUUGGGCAAUGGGCGCAAGCCUGACCCAGCAACGCCGCGUGAAGGAGGAAGGCUUUCGGGUUGUAAACUUCUUUUAAGAGGGAAGAGUAGAAGACGGUACCUCUUGAAUAAGCCACGGCUAACUACGUGCCAGCAGCCGCGGUAAUACGUAGGUGGCAAGCGUUGUCCGGAUUUACUGGGUGUAAAGGGCGUGUAGCCGGGUUGACAAGUCAGAUGUGAAAUCAUGCGGCUUAACCGCAGAACUGCAUUUGAAACUGUUGAUCUUGAGUACUGGAGAG
rnacentral:rRNA from 1 species